AGCUUUGCGCAGUGGUAGUAUCGUAGCCAAUGAGGCUUAUCCGAGGCGCGAUUAUUGCUAAUUGAAAAGUAUGGGACUACUUCACCAGGUAAGACCUGAAAAAUGACUAUCAUAGUGAGAGGUAUUUUCGCAAGAUCACCAAUGGU
rnacentral:snRNA from 1 species